rnacentral:misc_RNA from 1 species
AUCUGUCUCCGCCGUUCACGGCGUUUCGCCACUGUACACCGCCGAGUAUGAGAAGCUGAAUGAAAUGGGAGGAAAUAACAGAAAACGAUCUAAUAAACCUAAAACCCGGAAGCCUAGGAACCCGUCUUAUUCGGGUCGGGGCUUGUUUGUUGAAGGCGGAGUCUUAUCUGAUUGGGGCGAUUUCAAUUCUCCUCCUUCAAGGAGAAAUUUGAAGGGUGAAUAUGGAAAUGGAAAUGGCAAUUCAAGGAAUCGUAAUGCAGCUGUUAGCAGCUCGAUGAAUGCUUCGAGUUCGAAAACUGAAUUGAAGAAGAGUAGAGGAAGUGAGAUCCGUUAUGUAUACCCAUCUGCAGAUUCAGUGAUACGUUCAGAUGCAGUAUGUAGUGGAGGAGUAAAAGAUGUCAAGUUGGAUUCGGAACAUCCUAUUCUUUUGGUUGAUACAAAGGAAACUCAAAUUAUUGCUUUCGUAGAUGAAGGCCCAAAUAAGGAACCUCAAAAUCAGGGAUGUAUUUAUGAUUGCACAACCCCUUUAUCUCUAGAUGUUGGACAAAAUAAAGAUUCUAAUGAAGUUGACUAUGCUGGUGACUAUAGUGCUGGUUUCUCACUGGAUGAGAGUUCACACAGAGGAUUGGGAUUCUAUGAAGAAGCAGAAAUAACACAUGGUGGAGUUGGAUUGUCACCCAAGGAUGAGAAGGAAAAUCCUUCUUUUGAACAUUCAUUCUCUGACGAGGAUAUGGAUGCUGAUGGUGGCUUCCUUGGUGGUACCAGCAUCGAGAUGGACAAUCAUCUGCCAGCUGAGAUGUCAUCUUCUUUGGAAAAUGAGGGAUUUUUGUCUAUUGGGGGUUUUAGACUACAUACUCGAGACUUAUCAGACGAGGAAAGUGAUGGUGAUGAUGAAGACAUUUCAUCUGAUGAUGAAAGUUCUUGUUCGUCAGAAUCAGAAGAAUCUGAUGGAUCAUCUGAAAAUGAUGGGUCAUCUGAUAGUGAUUCAGAUGUUGAUGAAGAGGUUGCUGCAGAUUAUUAUGAAGGAACUGGUGGGCUGUGCAAAGUAAUUGAUGUUAGACAGUUGGUUGGACAAGUUCCUAGUAGCUGCUCUGAUGAUAGCUUAGACGAAACCGUAGAGAAGUUGGGUGGGAUUCAUCUUCAGGAAGCCUCUAGGGUGUAUGGAAUGAAGAAGCCUAAAAAAGAGAGAAAGUUCCGAGGAGGUCAGAAAUCUCCUUCUGCCAAGCAAGCCCAGGGAUCUGAUUUGGAUGGCCUUGUUUUUGUAAAGGACCCGAGAACAGUUUCAGGGAAAAAGAAACAUGCUGCUAAAUUUCCUCAGUCAUGGCCGUUUGAGUCUCAAAAGAGUAAAAAUUUCGGGAGGUUUCCAGGUGCUAAGAAGAAACAUCGCAAGGAGAUGAUGGCUGUGAAGCGUCGAGAGAGAAUGCUACACCGAGGUGUUGAUCUUCAGAAGAUAAAUUUAAAAUUACACCAGAUGGUUUUGGAUGGAGCUGAUAUGUUAUCUUUCCAACCUAUGCAUUCGCGUGAUUGUUCUCAGGUUCAGAGAUUAGCUGCAAUAUACCGCCUGCGAAGUGGUUGUCAAGGUUCUGGCAAGAAGAGGUUUGUGACAGUUACCAAGACACAGCAUACGGCUAUGCCAUCCCCCAGUGAUAAAAUUCGUUUGGAGAAGUUGAUAGGAGCCGGUGACGAGGAUUCUGAUUUCACAGUCACGGGUAUACAAAGUUAUAGAAAGGAUGUAAAUGCAGCCAAAAACUCUUCAAAGGGUAGUGGUGGACAAUCUGGCCCAAGCAAUUUGUUUAAAAUGCCGAUAAAUCCACGUGGGCAAAAAGACAGCAGCAAGAAACGAAGGGAUCAGAAAACAGUCUCCUAUGCUCUUCCUGUCUCCUUUGUUUCAAGUGGUAUCAUGCGUUCGGAGACAGAAGUUGAGGAGAAAUCAAUCGAAACAACCCAUACAACCACCAUUGUCCAUGAAACAAAGGUUGUGACCAACUCAGUCGAAUACGGUGCAUUCGAGAUGCACACUACAGGUAUUGGCUCAAAACUCAUGGCAAAAAUGGGUUAUCAAGAAGGCAGAGGCUUAGGGAAAGAUGGACAGGGUAUUUCUGAGCCCAUCGAAGCUCGCCAACGACCAAAAGCUCUUGGAUUGGGAGCUGAAAUCCCAGAAACAAGUAUUAGAUCAUCAGGAAAGAAGGAUUCUCUACCCAAAUCAUCUGGUCGUGGUGCUGAAGUUGUCGGUGGAAGUGGGAAAUCCAUCAGGAAGGAGUCAUCUGUUGGAUUUGCAGGAUUUGAGAGACACACAAAGGGGUUUGGAUCAAAGAUUAUGGCAAAGAUGGGUUUUGUUGAAGGUAUGGGACUUGGUAGAAGUUCACAAGGCAUAACCAAUCCUUUAGUUGCUGUUAGACGUCCUAAAUCGCAAGGAUUAGGUGCCAAAAGUUAGAAGAAAAAAAAUCACAUAAUAUCUUUCAACUGUGGAAAGAAAUGUUCAUAUUUCCCAUCUUAGUUGAACUUUGUAAUUUGCCCUGAAGCCUAUUUAAGUAGCAGACUACAACAACAUUACCUUGUGUAACUAGGGUCCGAAGAGGGUGAUGCGUAUGCAACAUUACCUCUAUCUUCGUAUGCAGAAGAGGGCAGCGUGUAUACCCCUCCCUUCUAAAUUUCGAGAGGGUGGUGUGUACGCGACCUUAUCCUUGCUUUCUUAAGACAUUUCAAUGGCUGACUAAUUAUCUAAGAUUAUAAACCAUAUUACAUUGAAGUGUGGAUAUCUUUUUUAU